GACGAACGCUGGCGGCGUGCUUAACACAUGCAAGUCGAACGGAAAGGCCCUGCUCUUGUUGGUUGCUCGAUUGGCGAACGGGUGAGUAACACGUGAGUAACCUGCCCCUGACUUUGGGAUAACUUCUGGAAACUGGGGCUAAUAUCGCAUAUGAUCUCCUGCUGCAUGUUGGGGGUUGGUAAGUUUCGGCGGUUGUGGAUGGUCUCGCGGCUUAUCAGCUUGUUGGUGUGGUAGUGGCUUACGAAGGCUUUGAAGGGUAGCCGGCCUGAGAGGGUGACCGGCCACAUGGGGACUGAGAGACGGACCAGACGGCUACGGGAGGCAGCAGGGGGGAGUAUUGCACAGUGGGCGGAAGCCUGAUGCAGCAACGCCGGGUGCGGGAUGACGGCCUUCGGGUUGUAAACCGCUUUCGCCUGUAACGAAGCGUGAGUGACGGUAAUGGGUAAAGAAGCACCGGCUAACUACGUG
rnacentral:rRNA from 1 species